rnacentral:rRNA from 1 species
AAUAGAUACCCUGGUAGUCCACGCCGUAAACGAUGAGUGCUAAGUGUUAGAGGGUUUCCGCCCUUUAGUGCUGCAGCUAACGCAUUAAGCACUCCGCCGUGGGGAGUACGGUCGCAAGACUGAAACUCAAAGGAAUUGGACGGGGGCCCGCACAAGCGGUGGAGCAUGUGGUUUAAUUCGAAGCAACGCGAAGAACCUUACCAGGUCUUGACAUCCCACUGACCGGUAUAGAGAUAUACCUUUCCCUUCGGGGACAGUGGUGACAGGUGGUGCAUGGUUGUCGUCAGCUCGUGUCGUGAGAUGUUGGGUUAAGUCCCGCAACGAGCGCAACCCUUGAUCUUAGUUGCCAGCAUUUAGUUGGGCACUCUAAGGUGACUGCCGGUGACAAACCGGAGGAAGGUGGGGAUGACGUCAAAUCAUCAUGCCCCUUAUGACCUGGGCUACACACGUGCUACAAUGGAUGGUACAAAGGGCUGCAAGACUGCGAAGUCAAGCCAAUCCCAUAAAAACCAUUCUCAGUUCGGGAUUGCAGG